UUUCAAGAGUGAGCUCGACCCAAGCUGAACCACACCGAGAUCAAGCCAUGACAGUCCUGGCCUUUGGCGCCGCCGCUACCUGGCCGGAGGCCAUCGUCCAGUGCCUCCUCUUCGUCCUCGCCGCGGGUAUGCUCGUGGCCCUCCACUCCCUCCCCCGCCGAGUUGCCCAUCGUCUCCGCCGCGGCGCCGGCGGCUCCUCGGCCGCUCAAUCGCGCCGGCACUUCGCGCUGGGUGCCCAGCUCCUCGCCCGCGCGCGAGCCGCUGCUCCGAAGCCCCCGGGCCCGCUCGCCCGCGCGGCCCUCGCCGAGGCCGACCGCGCCAUCGCGCUCGACCCCCGCGACGCAGCGCCGCUGAUCCUCAAGGCCCUCGCCCUCGACCUCCAGGGUCACCGCCUCCCGGCGCUGCGCACCCUCGACGUCGCCCUGGCGCCGCCGCUCGCGCGAUCCCUGGAACCGCGGGAGCGCGGGGACGCGCUCGCCAAGCGCGCCGAGAUCACGCUAGCGCUUAACCGCCGCCGCCGCCUCGACCAGGCCGCCGCGGAUCUCACCGAGGCCGUCCGCCUUAGCCCCGAGAACCCCCGCGCUCAUGCCCUGCUUGGCGAGUGCUACGAGAGGAGGGGCCUCGCUGCCGAAGCCAGGAACUCCUUCAAGACCGCCGCGUCAAUCGACCCAUCUCUUGCUACCGCGCACGACGGCCUCCGUCGGACAGGCGCAGGCAGCGAAGUCAACGAGAGUGACUGAUCGAAACAGUCCCACUUGCUAGGCAGUAGGUGGCUGUGCGGGCGUGCUGACGAUGGGGCGAUUCCCCCUGUAUCUCUCUCUCAAAGAAAAUCCCCCACGAGACGGCGACCUCCUCGGCUUCUCCAGCACGCGCUAUUGCGUCGUCACCCUUGAUACGGUGGCUUUCCUGCCUCGCGGCCGCUCCUCCGGCUUUCCUGCUUCUGUGCACCGUCGUUAUUCUCGUGGGCUUGCGGUACUGGCGGCAGAUGGGGGUGGCGGCUGGAUCUGGACAGCAAGGGCGGCAGAUUAAAGAGAGACAAAGAAGCCCUGGUCUAGAGAUGAUGCUCCUCAUCGCGCUGUCGAAGCACCAAGAACCACGUCCAGGUCAUGGGGCCGUUGAUGGGAGAUCGACAUCUUACCUGGGCACUACUCCUGCACGCCGGCGUCAUGGCCAAGCAAGGCCUGCUGGUAAUUUCGUUCCCCUUUCAUAUUUGGGUCAGCAGCGGCUGCUUGAGGGUGUACAGUUCCAGAUGAUAGCCCUUUUCCCCUUAAUUUUUUGCACUAACCUCUUCUCUAUACUACAUGUGCUUCAUGGUGAAAAGCGAGGACAGCAAUUUGACAGUUAUAAUAUGUGUAGGUGCAUAUAUGAGUAGCUUUAUGAAAAAAGUAGAUGCAUAUAUAUGUAUUUCUUGGGCAAAUCUAUCUGUGUACAAAUAGAUGCAUAUAGCAUAUAAAGCUACUGAUAUAAGAAAUAGUUAUUGCCCCUUCAUGGAAAUUGGCUUCAGUGGCUACAUAAUUAUUUUCUCAUUGUGUUUUAGUUAACAUUUAUGCGAAUCACAGAAAAAAAAAGUGUAUGUAUCUGCAUAGUCGCCGGAUCCACACCACUGGUGACCAUGGCUUAGCAUAGGAACACCCCCGGAUCACACUCUUGCAACAGGUGGUUUAGUUCACAUGGCUUCAAUUUUGGCUAUGUGAUGAGGUCAUCCCCUUCUCUCCUUUUUGAGAAUUUUGAGUUCGAUUUUACAUUUAUUUCAGGUUAAGUAGUACUGAAUGAUGUAUUUUUGCAUGCUUUCUGCAGUCUAUGCAUGUUCGUGGUUAUACAGGUUGGAGCCUGCAACUGAUAGUAAGCUCAGUCUUAAUCUAUGCAUUGUUCUACAUGUUUGUUGGCAGAUAGAGAUAAAAAGGGAAAGUGAACAUAUGGUGAUUGAAUUUACUUCCUGCAUCUAUAGUAUUUUACACCAAUGCAACAUUUGUGAAAUCGAGAUAGUAUAUUUAUUUGCCACAUGUAUUGUGUUGCCCCUGAAUGUAAUACUGUUCGGUUAUAUCUUGGUAUUUACGUUAUCUGAAUCACUUCGUUUUGAUACGUGCAUUGCCAUUUUCAAAAGUAUAUCCAUUGUUCCUUCCUGGUGGUCAAGUGGCAAUGCAGAGCAUGCUGGUGAACUUUCAAACUCAUCUGCUUUCGUGUUGAUGAUAUGUAGACAAAAGAGCAAGACAUAGAGUAGUUAAUUUAGACCGAUGACUUUGUACGGGCAAUGCAAAGCUAGAAGUGAUCGAUAUGCUUCAGGAGGCAACGAAGCAGAUUGAAGGCCACACGAUCUGCGCCCUCAGGGAUGCUGCAGCAUGGCCUGUGCAGGGUCUUAUCAGGCACUUCAGGCCUGAGCUGGAAAGGAGGAUCCGCGAUCGAGUUGAUAACGAGCUGCUGAUGGCAGCUUCUGCAUGAGCACCACUUCUAUUUUCCUGAUUUUAUUCACAGAAAUAAUGCAAACUGGUGAACUCAUUUCUGUACAAGCAAAUGUAGGUUACCUUAUUGGUUUGAACCUUUUUAUGUCCAUGUUUUAUUUGAUGCGCUGAUGAAGCCGGUGUACUUUGAUGGAGAAGUAGAAACGAAUAUGAAGGAUUGUACCCUGUAUGUUGCAUGAGCCUGAUUUUCUUCCUCUUUAAUUUUGUAGAGAAUGACUUGCUUCUAAAUCCUCAUAAUCUGACUGAACUCUAAAAAUAUGUUGGCAUCUGAUGGUUAAUGUUUUCUUAAGUUGAUUUUUUUUUGAAUUUUUGCUUAAGUUGAUCUUAAUAAUGGAUUGGUGGGCCACUUCUAUUCGGCUUCCUGAACAGCAGGCAGCCGAAGCUAAAACGAAGCCAUAGUUCUGUAUAUGCAACAUAUACUAAUGUUUUCUUAUGUGUUUGUAACUAAUUCUCUCACUUCUAUUUCAUUUUUCUCUCAAGAGUCAAGACGGAAGGUCUCUGAACACGUGGCUAUUCCUUCCAUAUGGCACUAUUAAAUUGUGAAACAUCAUUAUUUUUUUAUGUAGCUGUAACUUUUAGCGAAAAUCCAAGAAAAAACUGAUGAAGAGAAUCCUGAUUCGUUUCCUUCCCUCUUCCCCGCUGCUCCGCGCCGCGCCGCCGCUUCUAACGCCCCGGUUGUCUUGUGUGCAGCUUUGGACAUGCACGCCGCCGGCCCCAACCCCCAACACCCCGCCGCUUCGCUGUCCCUUCUCCGCCUCCAGCAUCCCCGCUACCCCGCCCGCCUCCACCUGCUCUGCCUCUUGCAUCUCCGCAGCCGCCUCCCUGUCCCCGCGCCCCUGGUCGCCGCUCCAUCACCCAUCCCCUCUGGCUUCCAGAGUCGGGAAGGACUGGGUGAGGUCGCAAGGGAGAGAGAGGCCUCGUGAUGUGUUUUCCUCCUCCUAGGCCUCCUCCACUGCCGCAAGAUCCAUCCCGAGGUGACCUCUUUUGUUCUUGAUUUGCUCUGUAAAUCGAAAUGAGAAUCUUUCUUCUUUCUCCUCUUCUUCAACCUAACCCUGGUUAGUUUGUUUUGGCGUCUGAUCAACCAUGGUGACUAUAUGAGUAUAUGGCUGCAUCUGAGCACCCGUUCUUCAAGUGCUACCACUCAAUUGAUUGAAUCUCCAAAGAGGUUGUCUGAAAAAUCCAAGUAAGUAAUGUAAGUGCAAGUAAAAUUUGUGGGAGGCUACGGCUCAAUCGAUUGCGUCUCAAAUGCAUCAACGCAGCUUACGGUGAUUUUUGAAACCUGUCAUGUAUGCAUGCCUUAAAAACAACUAAAAAUUUAAUUGCACCAAAUGAAUGGGAAUGUUAAAUUUGUUUGUUUCAGUACCUAUAUUCUAAAGAGCCCCACCCAUGUUGUUUCCCUUGAGAUUUAGACUUCUAGAGAAACCAAUUUGCUGACAGAUACUGGGACAUCGCUCACUUGCACAUUGCUGUUACUGAAGUCCACAUACAUGAGCUUCCUCAAUCCUUGGAGACCUGAGGAAUCGUUUGCUUCAGAAUAAGAUGGUUUAUAUGAAAAAAGCUCCCAAGUAAAAUUAAAGUUUCACCCAUGCAACAGUACGAGUUACAUACCCUAAAAAAUUUGAAACCAAGCGUGUUGUCCAGAAAAGUUCAGUAGCUGAAGCUCCCAAAAUAGGCUCGCGGGGAUCCAUGUCAUCUUCCGUUCGAUUACACAGGGUUUGAUCUUCUUCCUUUCUCCUUUAAUUCUUUGUCUGCUCUUUGAUGUUCUACUUGCGGAUUGGAGCUGCUGUCAGAACAGCGGUAUAUGUGUUCUAUUCCGUUUAAGUAUAAGGUUGUGCGGCCUUUUUUGCUCCAUAUUUCCUGAACUCAUAGUUCAUUUCCCUGUUAUGUGUAGAUCUGCAGGCAGCAUGCAAGAUCAUUUGGUUCGUCAGUUUAGUUAGAACUCCCAUUGUUGAUUUCUCUUCCUAAUGUAAGCCUUGGUGUUGCAUUCAUCAGGUGUGUUGCUAUUUCGUAUACAGUUCUGAAUGAUUAGUGCCAAGAAGUGAGCUCCAAACUAGGGCACAUGUCUUUCAAGUACAAUAAAAAGAUUACAGUUAACUUGUUGAGUAAUAAUAUAUGAUUGCUGGUGCCUCCUGAUUUGUGUGAUAAACAAAUGGUGUACAUUUUGUGUGUAAAUCCGAGAUUCCUCGAAAGGUUGGGAAGUGAACUUAUUGAACUUGUUAGCCCUGUUUAAUUCGGUAGCAUGUCAAACUUGAUGUUCGUUUCGGCCCAUAGCCUUUUCCCUGAAAAAGUUUGAAAGUGUGAAUUAUCUCUCUAUCAAGUAUUAGCUUUUUUGUUCUUUGAACAAGCCCCAUUCACGCUGACUAUAUGGGAACAGUAAAACAAGCUAACAUGGACCAUCAUGAUGAUUUCUUGGUAUGUUGAUCAUCAUUGAUUUUAAGAGUUGAAUGGGAGUGAGCGAGCUUCUAUUCACUUGUUGCCGUCUACGUAUGUACACUUUGUGACAUCGGUGAGUAAUGUACAUAUGAUUUCUCUUACCAUCAAAGACAUCAUAUGAAUGAUAUAGGAACCCAUGGAUCCAGUUGAAUCACACAUGUAAAGAAGGACGAGCUAGCUAUAUAGUUAGAUGCAUAGAGUGAGGCAUUUCAUUCCGUGAUAACAUGUAUGAAUCAUGCAUAGAGCUAACGAUUAGUCCUGCAUUACUCCAACAAGACUUGAUCUAUUACUACAAAUAUGCUAUUAAUGUUCUUCCAUUUUCAGUUUCCCAUCCAGUAAGCAAUGAGCAAGAAGUCGAGCUCAAUUGUAGUGAGAUGGAGUAAGGGAAGGCGGUUUGGUGGCGGAGUGAUGCUGGCGGUGGCUGCAGUUCCUACGGUGUCCAGGGCACGACUCUUUUUGCACGCCGAAUGCUGCCAAUUAGUUUCAGCUUCGCUGCACCACACCAUCAUGUGACACAUAUUAUGACACGCGCACCUUGGCGGGCUGCGACACCAACAAGGACACACUACGGCAACCCUGUACGGGGGUGUCCGCCCCCUUGGGGAUAGGUCACCUUCUUCCACAAGCCAUGGUCGACAAAGUCUGCAUCAAGACUCUUGAUUCAUCCUUCCCCCCUCUCUCCCAGCAUGAUUAAAAAUUGAUAUCUGCUGUUUUUUGUUGCUCGGUUUGCAUGUUUUUUUUGCCUUCUGAGGGAGACUAUUCAGGCAUACGAUGGUUAGAGAAACGGAUCCGCUAAAAAUCAGUCGACUGAGACUUGGCGAAGUCUCAGUCGACUGCUCAGCCGUCCGAUGCUGAGCGUGUAGAUUUGCGCUGAGGCUGGUUUGUCCCUUGUUUCGGCCUGUGUAAGGCGUGGACCGGCCCAUUUUCCUUUUCUUCUUUGUGGAACCGCGAUCCCGCGCGAGCGUUUUGCUUUUGUAGUGGGCUGGGCUGUUUUUCCGUGCGGCUUUUUUUUUUUGCUGUUUUGUUUUUUGAGAAGUGGAAGCGGCCGCCCCCAUGGUGAUUAAGAAGAGGUGAACGGGCAGUCACAGCUCAAUCCACAUUGUCUCUCUCCAUUCCCCAAUAUCAAAUCAGAAGACGAACCAGAGGACGAGAGAGGGGAAUGGCCGGCGCUGCUGAUGCAGGGGUUUGUGGAGUUUGUUUCAACCAUUGCAAGUAUGAGAGCAAGGGAAGCGGUUUCAGCAUGGUUGCAUGGGAGGAGUUCAAGAAUGCAGGGGUUGUGCCUUGCAAUGAAAGGGCCCAUUUCAACAAUGUGACAGGAGAGAAGGUGACGUUUGUGUCAAACCAACGGGCAUACACUGUAAAGUGUUACAAGGGUCGCAUAAAGAGCACUAUGUAUGGGAGAGGUUGGAGGAAGUUCUAUGAAGACAACAAUCUGGGCAAGGGUCAGAUGGUGGUGUUCCACCUGGAUGAACCUUCACCUACGGCAUCUAUUUUGUGGUUCCAGGUGGGCAACGGCUCUGAAGAUGAACAGCCUAUGGAAGAGGGUGAUCCCAUUGAAGAUUCAGAUUCAGGUAAUGAGGAUGGAGAAGCUUCAAGCGAUGAUGGUGAAGGCAUUGUUCGCACUAGGGGGCUUUUGCUUAAUGAGACAGAGGAUGCUCAGCUACAAGGGCUGCUGCCUCUCAGUGAUGGUUUCAUCGGGUUUGCUUUUGUUCACCGCCUGACAAGGACUGACAUUCGCUUGGGCAUGAUGAAAAUACCCAAGAAAGUUGCUGCUGCCACGCCGUUUGAAGAACAGGGGGUUGUUGGUAUUUCUGUGGAUGGUCGGAGAUUCAAAAAAAUCUCAUACAAAACUACUGAUGAUGGCCGCAUUGUGUUUGGCAGCAAGAAGUGGAAAAACUUCGCAGCUAGCAGAGGACUCAAAGUCAACACAGCUGUUCUUAUUGGCUUCAAGAGCAGCGAGAGGGAUGAUGUCCAUGUCCUGGUUAUCUUGAAGAAGCUUGGCUAGGCACCAGGCACAGCAACUGAUGACAAGCAGAGCUGCGUCUAUAAUACUCAUCUGUUGGGUAUUCUAUAUAUUUCUGUGUCGAAGUCUGUAUGACGAACCUUUUUUCAUUUUUAUGCCAUGUUGAACCUGUCAGUGUAGUUUUGCGUUUCUUAUGUGUCCACCAAACAAUGCGGCUUGAAUAAUAUAUGAUGGGAACCCCUUUUUCUACAUUAUAUUCAAGUGUUCACCUAAGUUUUUUUAUUGAUUUUUCA